GGCUCAGAAAUGUUGCAAGGGUAUCGUUAAAAUGGUCCAUGUGACAUCAGUGGUUCAACCGCAAUUUUAUGAAGCUACGAGAAUACUUUUUGUGCGCAAAGAAAACUAAAAUAACUUUAUUCAACAAAUACAAUUGAAACACUGUUGUCACAUGGACCAUUUUAUCAAUGUCCUUACUGCGUUUCUAGGCCUUGAACUUUUCAGUUCCCUUGCUGUCUAUGAAGGGUCAGAGAGAUCUCAGAUUUCAUCUAAAAUAUCUUAAUUUGUGUUCAGAAGAUGAAUAAAGGUCUUACAAGUUUGGAACGACAUGAGGGUGAGUAAUUAAUGAUAGAAUUUUCAUUUUUGGGUGAACUAUCUCUUUAACUUUAGUUCAACCUGGUAUACUUUGCAAAUGACAACAUGUUAAAUAAAUUGAAAUUUUAUCCACUGAACUGUGGAUGUGCAGACUUACAAAGUACAAUUAAAACCUAACAUUAAAGGUAACAACACCCAACCAAAAUUCAUUUUUACAAUUAUACAACACAUGGACGAUGGACAAUAAUCUCUAUGUAAUCGGGUAAUUUUUUUAAUCUCUGAACCUUUGUUUAAAGUUUCAGUGGAUCCAGCUCCAGGAAAAGACCUCCAAAGUAUAUUUAAAAGGUUAGUUCACCCAAAAAAGAAAUAUGGUUGAAAUAAGGUCAGUUCGUAUUUCAACGUUGAAACAACGUUGAAACAAUGUUUAAUGGUUGAAAACCAACACGGUACAUGACCAACCUUCAACGUUGAAAUAUGGUUGAAAUAAUGACAGUUGUUGUUUCAAUGUUGAAACUACGUUGAAAUAAUGUUUAAUGCUAAAUGGUUGAAAAAGGGUAAUAAAAACACUUAUAAAUCAACUUUGAUUUUUUUUUUUUUUUUUAAGAUCUGUAUGUUGAAUCACUUAAUGUAUGUACAGAAUAAAUAAUUUCUGUUAUUAUUAAGAUCGUUAUUAUUAUUUUAUUAUCAUUUUACAUUUUUAUCAUGAAACCUUCUGGUAUAACUAUUAUCAACAACAAUAAAACUAAACACAUUGCGCUUCCUUACCACGCUGAAACAAUUCCUAUUGGUUAUUUAACUUAUUUGCUUUGAUCAUGAUUGGUUAAUCUGGCUGUCAUUCAUGAAACUGGCCAAUGAAACUGUGCGCGCCAUUUUAAGUUUGAAAAUAUGACCGUUAUCCUGACCGUCUUUCUGAGUGAGGUCGCUGUGAGUGAGAGAGCUGCUGCGCAAUAAAACUGCUAGGUCGGUCCCGAAUUAUAAUUAUUGUAUAAAAAACAUACCAUCAAAUUUCUAAUUUUAUGUACUGGUACUAUUUAUGUAAACGCUGCGUAACUUUCAUGUGUUUGAUGGAUGCGCGCGUUGAACAUUCGAGGCGCUUUUAAACUGGAGUGGAAGGAGUUUCCAUGGAAACCGGCCGGCAACUCAGCUGACAAGUAGCAAAAAAAAUCCGUCUCUCACUGUUGUUUUUACUGCUUUCAGAAAUGGUUCAGUGUCAUCGGAAAAAGUUCGUUAGCAUCACAGAGGCUAACUAGAAGAGAUUGUUUAUGUUCCUAUAUUCUUCCAUGCUGAUGGCCGUGCAACAGAGUUGGAGGGGACCUCUUGUCGAAGAACAUCUCCAAGACACUAUGAGCAUCUGACUAGCUUUUUGUGAAGACAGAAAAUCAAGAGAUGUUGUGACAACCUGGACAGAAUUCAGCUCCGGAUCCACCCUCCACACCAGACUUCUCACUCACUCACUCACUCACUCACUCACUCACUCACUCACAAGGACUGCUGUCUACUAGCAUAUUGUGUUCUCUUCAGAGUUAGGUGCAUGGAGAUAUUAGCUAAUUUUUAGGUAUAAUGAAAACUAUAUCAUAUAUAUAUAUAUAUAUAUAAUAUAUAUAUCUUGGAUCCAAGAUGGCGGCGCGAUCAGACGCGGCGGCUGCUCCAGGUCCCAAAGACGGUGCUUUUUUGUCUUUUAAUGUCGUCUGUUCGUCUCCAAAUAGUGUAAAUUUACCGCUAGUUCAUAAGGAAAUCACUCCUAAACUCAAAUAUGUUCGCCAAAGACUUUUGGAUAUCGGCAACGCAUACAAAGACCAACACUCGCUGGCGGCUACUGAGAAGCUACGAGGCCUCUGUUUACUGCUGAAGCCGGACCUCGAGACCGCGGCCUCGCCUACUGUCGCUACCCGCACA